rnacentral:rRNA from 1 species
GUGAGGAAUAUUGGUCAAUGGACGCGAGUCUGAACCAGCCAAGUAGCGUGAAGGAUGACUGCCCUAUGGGUUGUAAACUUCUUUUAUAAGGGAAUAAAGUGAGGGACGUGUCCCUUUUUGUAUGUACCUUAUGAAUAAGGAUCGGCUAACUCCGUGCCAGCAGCCGCGGUAAUACGGAGGAUCCGAGCGUUAUCCGGAUUUAUUGGGUUUAAAGGGAGCGUAGGUUGACGUAUAAGUCAGCUGUGAAAGUUUACGGCUCAACCGUGAAAUUGCAGUUGAUACUGUAUGUCUUGAGUGUACAAGAGGUGGGCGGAAUUCGUGGUGUAGCGGUGAAAUGCUUAGAUAUCACGAAGAACUCCAAUUGCGAAGGCAGCUCACUGGGGUACAACUGACACUGAGGCUCGAAAGUGUGGGUAUCAAACAGGAUUAGAAACCCGGGUAGUCC